CUUUAAAUGAAAGGGUUGAGUAUACAAGAAUAUCAAUAAGUUCCAAUUGAAGAGCGGAUUCUUUUGCAAUUCAGGCAUGUGCCGGCGAUAACGGGCGAGUUGGCAUGAAGAGAGGCAGAGAUGGAUUAAUUAUGCAGAGAACAUGGAAAUUCUGCUUAUCAUCGGCUAGCAAAGGAGCCCGGCUCACAUAAUCAGCAAACGAAGGGAGAGGAAAAAAUAACAAUGCAAUGGCACCUUCCAGCCCAUCAUCAGGAUUUUUUCUACCCCCUUGUAAUUAAAAAAUAACAUACACUUAUAGCCCUAUCUCCUGUGCAGGCAAGGAGUGGAUGUCCACAAAAUAAUUGCACUGGGAUAUUAGAGCUGGCGACACGGGCUGUCCAUUCCGGCUUGCUCUCCUGCUCACCCUCUCUUUCUCUUUUGGCCUCUCAGGCACUUUGCUUCUGAACCCAGUCCAAAUCAGAGAGACGUCUCAGGUGACAUUCAAGCUCGGUUUCCAAAAAUCCCAAAUUGGUACCUUAUCAUGAUCCAAGCAAACAUACAUACAUAUAUGAUAAAUAUUUGGAGGGCUGACUCUAGAGGAGGCUUUGGAACUGAUCACCUGUGGACUAUCUGGUCAGUUUCAUUUUUUAUGAAACAUGUCCAAAUAGCCUUCAUUUUGCAAAGUGGCUGGAUUAAAAUGGUGGCUGUGCAACGGCUGUGCUAUCUUCUCAAAUCAUUUAACUUACCUACAAGUUUUUGUUUCUAUUCCCUUUGCCAACUCAUUUUAUAAAUGUUAAGUUAAUGAUUGCAAUGUCUGCACCUCAAAAUCAGAAUUCGCAAUUCUGUAUUGUCAUUGUAAAAUCUGACAGCUCAAUGCCUUGUAUUUCUCUAAAUGCCAAAAGACUACAAUAAACCUAGUUUAUUGCUUUAAAGAAAA
rnacentral:lncRNA from 1 species